CGGGUUGUAAAGCUCUUUCAGACGGAAAGAAACGGUUACAGAUGACACCUGUGACUAAUGACGGUACCGUCAGAAGAAGCACCGGCUAACUACGUGC
rnacentral:rRNA from 1 species